UCGCCGCGCCGGACGAAACGGCGCGGCGCGAAGCGCAGAGGCAUUCGAAAGUGGCCGGGGCCUCGUACGACACGACAACGCAAUUGCGUGUGCACAGAUCAUUGACUCCGACCACGCAACAAUCCCCGGCUGCGAUCCUGACCACGUAAACAUUGUGCAACAAAACCCAAUGACCCAAAGAUCCGCAGUUUAACGAUCAGUGUCGACAGCCUCCAAAAACUUUGCUUUGAGGUGUCGCAUCAUUCUUUGUAUAAACAACUAUUCAGUCCCCUGAACAGAAAACUUUUUAAUCAGCGAAUCGAAAGCUUACCGUCGAGUACUCUGGCGCUAGAACGACCAAAGAAGAGGCUUCUCGAGGAUCAUGAUCUCGAGUAAUCAGCAUUUGGCAAGAUGCGAUCCUUAAGACAUUGCGACAAAGAGGUUGCAGCAAUAGUAACGAUGGAUUAAAAACGAACCAGAGGUCAAUGUGGAACAAGACCGAGUGGAUCUGACAGAGAUAUUUUCGAGGCACGCGCAACCCAGCCGAAUCUAACAUCAAAAAGAAUCGAGGUUUCGUCGAGCAAGGAUCGAGGUCAGACAGAGAAAGCUGCAGCUCGGCUACAGUGAUACAAGGACCUUAUGUAAUUCAUAAUCGCCAUCCGUUUUAUCGAUAUGAAAGACAAGUGAGAAAUUAAUUAUCUCGCAUGCAACGUUGUACAAGUCGUCGAGCGUGUACGUCGACGCGACUCAUCUCUUUUUAACGAAUAAGAACGCUGUUGAAAACAGCCGCCGAUUGCGUUCCCACGAGUGAAUUUCUGGAGAUUUCAAUGCCUCUCUUGUUGGGACGCAUUGCAAACAGCCGCGUCAGACAGAAAAUGUUUCGACAGACAGAAAAUAACCUAAGAGUUGCAUCGUUCUUAAUAAUAAUUAUGUAACUCUGAUUCAGUGGAUUAAUCUCAA